rnacentral:rRNA from 1 species
UACGAAGGGGGCUAGCGUUGCUCGGAAUCACUGGGCGUAAAGGGUGCGUAGGCGGGUUUUUAAGUCGGGGGUGAAAGCCUGUGGCUCAACCACAGAAUGGCCCUCGAUACUGGCUGGCUCGAGACCGGAAGAGGUUGGUGGAAUUGCGAGUGUAGAGGUGAAAUUCGUAGAUAUUCGCAAGAACACCGGUGGCGAAGGCGGCCAACUGGUCCGGAUCUGACGCUGAGGCGCGAAAGCGUGGGGAGCAAACAGG